GAUGAACGCUGGCGGUAUGCUUAACACAUGCAAGUCGAACGGACUCUUCGGAGUUAGUGGCGGACGGGGGGGUAACGCGGGAGAAUCUGGCUUUGGGUUCGGGACAACCACUGGAAACGGUGGCUAAUACCGGAUGUGCCGAGAGGUAAAAGAGAAAUUGCCUGAAGAUGAGCUCGCGUCUGAUUAGCUAGUUGGUGAGUUAAAGGCUCACCAAGGCAGCGAUCAGUAGCGGGUCUGAGAGGAUGACCAGCCACACUGGGACUGAGACACGGCCGAGACUCCUACGGGAGGCAGGGGUGGAGAAUUGUCCGCAAUGGGCGAAAGCCUGACGGAGCAAUACCGCGUGAGAGAAGAAGGCUCUUGGGUUGUAACCCUCUUUUCUUAGAGAAGAACAAAAUGACGGUACCUAAGGAAUAAGCACCGGCUAACUCCGUG
rnacentral:rRNA from 1 species